GUUGUUCUAGUAUAGUGGUGAAUAUUUCCGCCUGUCACACGGGCGACCCGGGUUCGAUCCCUGACAACAGCG